CAUGAGAGGCCCUCGCAAUGGGGACCUGUGAACCUGGUCAGGGACGAAAGUCAGCAGCCAUAAGCAGUCAUCUCUUUGUGCGUAGGGUCUCUCAUUCGA
rnacentral:SRP_RNA from 1 species